rnacentral:lncRNA from 1 species
GGAGGAGACUGAGGUCUUCACAGUCUCCUGGAAGUUCAGUCAGAGGUCCAGAUGCAGCCUGGGGCUGUGGUCACAGCUCGCCAUCCCAUCCGCAUUGCUUGGUCUGCACCUUUGCUCUCCCAGCACCGGCACUAUCCUCGUCAUCUCGGCCACGAUUAUGGAUGCGCUGUCCUCUGCCCUGGCUGGAACAGUUGCCUUCCAGAAAGGUACUACCUGGCUUGAACAACAACAAAUGUCUUUUCCUGUAACUUGUAUUGCCCCACAGAGGAAGACGAACAGCUCUCCCACACUGGAGCCAUAACUUUACCCAUGAGCCUUCACUCUCAGCCAGGGCAGACAAGAGUCCAGCGCGUCUGAGACUGUUCCUGCUCUGACCCAGAUAUCCAACCUGCUAGUGUGUGAGAAUACUCCAUGUCUCAGUCAGGAUUUCCAUUGCUGUGAAGAGACACCGUGACCACAGCAACUCUUAUGAAGGAAAAGAUUUCAUGUGGACUGGCCUGCAGACCAGAGAUUUAGUCUACUGUUGUCAUGGCAGGAAACCUAGCAGUGUGCAUGGUGCUGGAGAGGAGCUAAGAGUUCUACAUCCCGAUCAGAAGGCAGCAGGAAGGGAACUUUGAGCCACUAGACCUGAGCUUCUGAGACUUCAAAGCCUACCCCUUGGUGACAUGCUUCCCUCAACAAGCCACACCCACUCCAGUACCUAAUAGUGCCACUCCCUGUGGAUCUGUGGGGGCCGUUUUCAUUCAAACUUCCACACCCCAUAUAUUUCUUGGGUUGCGUGUCUACUUUGUCACACAACAGAUAUAGCGUUCUGGCAAGCUGUAGCAUGUGCCACCAUUUUCUCUCAGAACCACUCAAAUAGGUGACAACACCCUCUUACACAAGCCUCUGCCACCUGGAAGAGAGUUCAUCCCGCUGCAAGAGAAGGAGGACUGAGAUUGAAGGGGUGUUUACUAAUUAUUUAUUUAUUUUUACUAAUUAUCAUUUACUAAUUC